rnacentral:rRNA from 1 species
CUCCUACGGGAGGCAGCAGUGGGGAAUAUUGCGCAAUGGGGGCAACCCUGACGCAGCAACGCCGCGUGCAGGAAGAAGGUCUUCGGAUUGUAAACUGUUGUCGCAAGGGAAGAAGACAGUGACGGUACCUUGUGAGAAAGUCACGGCUAACUACGUGCCAGCAGCCGCGGUAAUACGUAGGUGACAAGCGUUGUCCGGAAUUACUGGGUGUAAAGGGAGUGUAGGCGGGAUGUCAAGUCAGAAGUGAAAAUUACGGGCUCAACUCGUAACCUGCUUUUGAAACUGACAUUCUUGAGUGAAGUAGAGGCAAGCGGAAUUCCUAGUGUAGCGGUGAAAUGCGUAGAUAUUAGGAGGAACACCAGUGGCGAAGGCGGCUUGCUGGGCUUUUACUGACGCUGAGGCUCGAAAGCGUGGGGAGCAAACAGGAUUAGAUACCCUGGUAGUCCACGCCGUAAACGAUAUUACUAGGUGUGGGGGGAUUGACCCCUUCCGUGCCG